rnacentral:rRNA from 1 species
GCAUGCCUAACACAUGCAAGUCGAGCGAGAAAGUCCUUCUGGGAUGAGUAAAGCGGCGCACGGGUGAGUAACACGUGGGUAAUCUGCCCUUUAGUUUGGGAUAACUCCUCGAAAGAGGAGCUAAUACCGGAGAGACCACAGAGACAUCAGUCUCAGGGGUUAAAGAUGGGGACCUUUCGGGGCCUAUCGCUAGAGGAUGAGCUCGCGACCUAUUAGCUAGUUGGUGGGGUAAAAGCCUACCAAGGCUGUGAUGGGUAGCUGGUCUGAGAGGAUGACCAGUCACACUGGGACUGAGACACUGCCCAGACUCCUACGGGAGGCUGCAGUCGAGAAUCUUGGACAAUGCGCGAAAGCGUGAUCCAGCGACGCCGCGUGGAGGAUGAAGGCUUUCGGGUUGUAAACUCCUGUUGUCAGGGAGCAACCGGUAGCGGGCUAAUACCCCGUUACCCUGAUAGUACCUGACGAGAAAGCCACGGCUAACUCUGUGCCAGCGGCCGCGGUAAUACAGAGGUGGCGAGCGUUGUUCGGAUUUACUGGGCGUAAAGGGUGCGUAGGCGGUCAGGCAAGUCGGAUGUGAAAUCUCACUGUUCAUCGGUGAAACUGCAUUCGAAACUGCCAGACUGGAGUACAGGAGAGGAGAGCGGAAUUCACGGUGUAGCGGUGAAAUGCGUUGAUAUCGUGAGGAACGCCGGUGGCGAAGGCGGCUCUCUGGACUGUUACUGAUGCUGAGGCACGAAAGCUAGGGGAGCAAACAGGAUUAGAUACCCUGGUAGUCCUAGCCGUAAACGGUGUGCACUUGGUGUGGGAGGAUUUAUCCCCUUCCGUGCCGGAGCUAACGUGUUAAGUGCACCGCCUGGGGAGUACGGCCGCAAGGCUA